UACGUAGGGCGCGAGCGUUGUCCGGAUUCAUUGGGCGUAAAGCGCUUUAAGGCGGUUCGCUAAGUCACGUGUGAAAACUCCAGGCUCAACCUGGAGACGCCACGUGAUACUGGCGUGACUAGAGUUCGGUAGGGGAUCACGGAAUUCCUGGUGUAGCGGUGAAAUGCGCAGAUAUCAGGAGGAACACCGGUGGCGAAGGCGGUGAUCUGGGCCGACACUGACGCUGUAGAGCGAAAGCGUGGGGAGCGAACAGG
rnacentral:rRNA from 1 species